GGAGGCCCGGACUGUGCGGUUAGACAUGACGUCAACAGCUGUGACUUUGAUCUCAGUGUCUCCAAACUGCAUGGUCGCUCUGAUUUCUCUUCUCUCAGGGACCCCUCCUCCGCCUGCUCCACCCACUGCUCCUGGUAGUGGUAAUGGUUCUGCCUCCACACUCUGCCCUCUGUGUCUCUUGUAGAAGUCGAUGAAAGAGAAGGGCAGGGAGAUGUUGAGGGCGUUGGCCCUGCCUGGUGCCGCUGUCCGUUUCCUCGCCUCAAAUGCGAUGGUGAGGUCCACCCAGGCUGCGGGACGCUUGGCUUUAAAGCUCUGAACAAAGUCCUCGCCAAAGAUCUGACACAGCAUGGCUUUGAAGGCCAAAUCAACACCGACAGCACCAUGUGGACCACCUGAAAGAAAAACAACAGCUUCAGAUACUGUAAGAAAUCUGGUUGUAACUGGAAGUGUGCUUUAGUAGGUUGUGAAAGUUUGUACCCGAGGCCUUGUAGAGCUCUUUAAGCGUUCCCUGUGGCUGCUCAAUCUGAUGGACCGUCAGGUCAACUGUUCCUCCUCCACAGUCAGCAACAAUGUACCUGUCACCUUUACAAAGAAUGCACAAACAUACACAUAUUUAAUUCAAUACCUGCAAGCCCAAGACUUAUUUUUCAUUUUCAUAAAGUCUGUUGCAUUGAACAUGCCUUUGAAAACCUGCUGAUCAGUUUGAUGUGAGGACCAGGAAAUAUUUAGUUGAGUCAUGAUGGAUUCUAAGUUUUCCUCAAUUUGUAACAGGAUAUCCUAGAUAAAAGUGUGCAUUAUUUCAUUAUUUGUUGUUAAAUCUCUAAAUGUCAUGUUUUUCUAUAUGUGUGUAUGUGUGUUUAUGUGUGUUUAUGUAUGCAAGUGAGCCUCCACUGAAACUCUUCCCCUUUAAACAUAAACAACCUUCAGGCAUCUGUGAUUGCUGAGCUCCCCUUUCGAGUGUAUGUUUAUGAUAAGUUCCAGGAUAAGAGUUGGUUUUGGCUAAGUUACACUAGGUUCAGCAGACCACACCCUAAACGCUAAUAUACGUUGUAUUAGUUAGUAAGACAGAGAGAGCAGUGAAAAGCAAAAAUCUAAAAUUUAGGGACAGAUGAGGGAAAACAGAGAGGUAAUAAAAAGGUUUCUAUUCCUUUGGUUUAUUUACAGUGCAAAAGCAGAGUCCCAUGGGCUGGGUCCUUCCUGUGUGUGUGGUGUGGUAAGGAAAGGGAGCUGCAAGGGUCAGCAGGGGCACGUGGCUCCUGAGAUUGUUGUCAUGGCUCAACAGAAAGAAAAGGUUGCAUAUAUAAACAGAGAACAGGGUGAAAUUUAUUGUGCCUUUGUUGGAUUGUAUCAUCCUUGAAGCAGGAUUGAACUGCAUGUGUUUUUUGGGUAUAAAAAUUUUACUUUGUUGUGUAAAUAAGAACAAGAGCAAAAGGGACUUUCUACUAGAUUGUACGGUUGCAUCCAGAUGUUUUCUCCUUGUAUAGACUUUCAUGCUCAACAUGAACCUUGAUUAGCUGGCUGUUAAAUCUUGGUAGAAGCCAGGAAAAUCAAAUCCAUACUUAUGAUGAAAGUUCAUUCUGGACCUUGCAACUAAUGAUUUGACAAAUAAAGUCCACUUUUUUUCUGCUGAGCCUGCUGAGGUUAAA